AAGAAAGUUGCAGAAUACAUGUGGCCGGCUUGAAACUGGCACAAGAGGGCUCAAUUCCCUCCUUUCUCG
rnacentral:tRNA from 1 species